GAAAUGCGAUAAGUAAUGUGAAUUGCAGAAUUCAGUGAAUCAUCAAAUCUUUGAACGCACAUUGCGCUCUCGGGUAUUCCUGGGAGCAUGCCUGUUUGAGUAUCAGUAAAUCAAUCAUAACCUUUUUGGUUGUGGAAUUGAGCUUGACCGUGCGUCACAGCGCGGAAGCUUUAAAGUCAUUGUUUGGCCUAGCAACUAUACUGAUGGCUGAUAAGCGUGACAAAUCGCCCUUAAGGGUAAAUGCGUUCGCUGUUUAGGCUAUUAGUCAAUGGAUGUUAGUUACCUUCGUACAUUUGACAUUUUGAUCUUGAUCUCAAAUCAGGUAAGACUACCCGCUGAACUUAAGC
rnacentral:misc_RNA from 1 species